AUUGAACGCUGGCGGCAGGCUUAACACAUGCAAGUCGAGCGAGCGGCGGACGGGAGAGUAAUGUCUGGGAAACUGCCUGAUGGAGGGGGAUAACUACGGGAAACGGUAGCUAAUACCGCAUACCAUCAGAUGUGCCCAGAUGGGAUUAGCUAGUAGUUGGGGUAAUGGCUCACCUAGGCGAGGAUCCCUAGCUGGUCUGAGAGGAUGACCGGCCACCCUGGAACUUGGACACGGUCCAGCCUCCUACGGGAUGCAGCAGUGGGGAAUAUUGCACAAUGGUCGCAAGCCUGAUGCAGCCAUGCCGCUUGUGUGAAGAUGGCCUUCGGGUUGUAAAGCACUUUCAGCGAGGAGGCGUUACUCGCAGAAGAAGCACCGGCUAACUCCGUGCCAGCAGCCGCGGUAAUAC
rnacentral:rRNA from 1 species